rnacentral:lncRNA from 1 species
CAAACUCUAGAGACUGCCCCAUUGGUUUCCCCUCCGGCGAAAUUUCGAAAUAAGACCUUUUUAUUAAUAAUAACAGUACCCUCUCGGAUUCCCCCAAGCCUUCCGGAAAAAGUACGUAUUUACACUUGGCAGAGAUUUUUACAUAGUCAUGGUCCUGACCAUAAAGUUCUAGAUCCUUGGCUCAAUCGACUGAGCUUGGUCCUUUGUGCCCCAGCUCUGGAGUGACCACUUUUGCGUGCCCUCAGUGGCCAGUGGAGGCGCGCUGGUGUCGCUGUUCCUUUUGAAUACCCUUUUCCAGUCGUGAUUUGUCAGUCACUCUGACCAUCAAGUUCUGACUUUGUAGGAGUGUUACCCAGGACUAUCUGGUUCUGACUGCCUGAUGCUGACUCACGGUUGUUUUUUUUUUUUUUUCCCUGACUCUGAUAUCAUUGACUCAACACAACGUGAGAGCAAGAGAUUCCAAAGGGGUCGUCAAAGUGAGCGGAAGGAGCGAAUCAUAGAACAAUCAUGAACUUCAUGAUGUGCAGGAGAGAAGGCGGCAGGCAGCUUCCAAGGCCACAUCCGUCAUACACAGAACUCAAACUCUCCCUGGAGCCACAAGAGCAGGGUUUUCAUUAUUGAAGUUGGAAUCCAUCCUUUCUUCCUUGAGCAGAUAAAGA